GGAUGACACUUUUCGGAGCGUAAACUCCUUUUGUUAGGGAAGAACAAUGACGGUACCUAACGAAUAAGCACCGGCUAACUCCGUGCCAGCAGCCGCGGUAAUACGGAGGGUGCAAGCGUUACUCGGAAUCACUGGGCGUAAAGGACGCGUAGGCGGAUUAUCAAGUCUCUUGUGAAAUCUAACGGCUUAACCGUUAAACUGCUUGGGAAACUGAUAAUCUAGAGUAAGGGAGAGGCAGAUGGAAUUCUUGGUGUAGGGGUAAAAUCCGUAGAGAUCAAGAAGAAUACCCAUUGCGAAAGCGAUCUGCUGGAACUUAACUGACGCUAAUGCGUGAAAGCGUGGGGAGCAAACAGGAUUAGAUACCCUGGUAGUCCACGCCCUAAACGAUGUAUACUAGUUGUUGCUUCGCUAGUCGAGGCAGUAAUGCACCUAACGGAUUAAGUAUACCGCCUGGGGAGUACGGUCGCAAGAUUAAAACUCAAAGGAAUAGACGGGGACCCGCACAAGCGGUGGAGCAUGUGGUUUAAUUCGAAGAUACGCGAAGAACCUUACCCGGACUUGAUAUCUAACAAAUCAUCCAGAGAUGGAAGGGUGUCUGCUUGCAGAAAUGUUAAGACAGGUGCUGCACGGCUGUCGUCAGCUCGUGUCGUGAGAUGUUGGGUUAAGUCCCGCAACGAGCGCAACCCACGUCAUUAGUUGCUAACGGUUCGGCCGAGCACUCUAAUGAGACUGCCUUCGUAAGGAGGAGGAAGGUGUGGACGACGUCAAGUCAUCAUGGCCCUUAUGUCCGGGGCGACACACGUGCUACAAUG
rnacentral:rRNA from 1 species